UAGCCGUAAACGAUACUCGCUAGGUGUCGGCCACGGUGCGACCGUUGUCGGUGCCGUAGGGAAGCCGUGAAGCGAGCCACCUGGGAAGUACGGCCGCAAGGCUGAAACUUAAAGGAAUUGGCGGGGGAGGCACCACAACGGGUGGAGCUUGCGGUUUAAUUUGGAUUCAACGCCGGAAAUCUUACCGGGACCGACAGCAACAUGAAGGCCAGGCUGAAGACUUUGCCGGAUUAGCUGAGAGGUGGUGCAUGGCGUAGUCGUGU
rnacentral:rRNA from 1 species